GGUUCGAUUAUGGCUCAGAUUGGAACGCUGGCGGAUGCUUUACACGUACACAGUCGAACAGCGGCACGGACUUCGGUCUGGUGGCGAGUGGCGAACGGGUGAGUAAUGUAUCGGAACGUGCGCACAAUGGCAGGGGAUAACUACGCGAAAGCGUAGCCUAUUCCGCCUGCGGCCAUCGAGAGAAAGCAAGGACCUUCGGGCCUCGCACUGUGGAACGGCCGAUAUCAGUUAGCUAGUUGGUGGGGUAACAGCUCACCAAGGCGACACAAUCGCAACUGGUUUGAGAGGACGAUAACGCCAGCACUGGGACUGGUCUGGCCCGGAGCUCCUACAGGGAGGUAGCAGUGAGGUGGACAAUGGAAGCCUGAUCCAGCCAUCCCGCGUGUGCGAUGAAGGCCUUCGGUUGUAAAGCACUUUUGGCAGGAAAGAAACGGCGGAUAAUACCCCGUGCAACUGACGGCUACCUGCAGAAUAAGCACCGGCUAACUGCGAUACCGCUGUGCAGCAAUAAUACGUAGGGUGGCGUUAAUCAGAUUACUGGGCGUAAAGCGUGCGCGCGAGCGGACCGGAAAAGAAAGAUGUACGAUCCGGCGAUACUGGAACUGCAUUUUUAACUACCGAGCUAGAGUGUGUCAGAGAGUGGAAUUCCGCGUGUGAACGAAAUGCGUAGAUAUGCGGAGGAACACCGGUGGCGAAGGAACCACUCCUGGGAUAACACUGACGCUCAUGCACGAAAGCGUGGGGAGCAAACAGGAUUAGAUACCUAGUAGUCCACGCCCUAAAGCGAUAUCAACGCUGUUGGGGCCUUCGGGCCUUGGUAGCGCGACUAACGCGUGAAGUUGACGACCGCCUGGGGUGAGUGCGCCAGAUCAACUCAAAGGAAUUGACGGGGACUUCCCUGCAAGCAGUGGAUGAUGUCGGAUUAAUUCGAUGCAACGCGGCUGCUAUCUGCUCCAGCAUAUAAGAUCUACGAAGAGAUUUGGGAAUGCUCGCAAGAGAACCGGAACACAGGUGCUGCAUGGCUGUCGUCAGCUCGUGUCGUGAGAUGUUGCAGGUUAAGUCCGCAACGGAAGCGCAACCCUUGUCAACGAACUUGCACGAAAGGGCACUCUAAUGAGACUGCCGGUGAUAAACCGGAGGAAGAGUGCAAGGGAUGACGUCAAGUCCUCAUGGCCCUUAUGGGUAGGGCUUCACACGUCAUACAAUGGUCAGGACAGAGGGUCGCCAACCCGCGAGAGGCCAAUCCAGAAACUGCGAUCGUAGUCCGGAUCGUGCGCAGCUCGACUGCGUGAAGUCGGGAAUGUAAGUAAUCGCGGAUCAACAUCGCGGUGAUACGUUCGGAUCUUGUACCCGCACCGCCCGUCACGCAUGGGAAUUGGGUUUUACCAGAAAUGUAGUUAGCCUAACCGUAAGGAGGCGAUUACGGUAGGAUUCAUGACUGGGGGUGAAGUCGCCAACUCAAAGGUCAU
rnacentral:rRNA from 1 species